GUCGGGCUCGACCCAUCUUCCUCACUCAAGCCGGCCCGGUCCGCACGGAGCAGGCCCUCUCCCCUCAGGCUUAGCACCCGGCCCAACUCUCGGUCCAGCCCAGGAUCCAGAAAAAUAUUCACCAGACAACCUGGCAGAUCCGCUCGAACGUACGCACGGGGAGAAUCAGAGGCCGUUACGCAUGGAGCAGGCGGCUGAUACCCCAGUACCUCCGAAUCCGCAUGGCAGAGACGCGUGGCCCAAUCCUGGAGAGACCUUUACACGUCACCAGCAAGCAAG
rnacentral:lncRNA from 1 species